UUGUAUGAUGAUCAAUUUUUAACCCCGAGUACUUCGUUCAAUGAAGAACAAAACUACGCAACAACACUCUAAUUUUUUACUGACU
rfam:Cladophialophora yegresii CBS 114405 aczIN-supercont1.7, whole genome shotgun sequence.